GUACUGGUUUCAGAGGUACAUUCACUAAAUUUGAAACGAUACAGAGAAGAUUAGUUUGGCUCCUGGACAAGAAUGAUUCUCAGUACCGUGAAGCGUUCUUCAUUUUA
rfam:Rhodnius prolixus Rhodnius_prolixus-3.0.3-1609.1, whole genome shotgun sequence.